rnacentral:misc_RNA from 1 species
GUUGAAGAACGUAGCGAAAUGCGAUAAGUAAUGUGAAUUGCAGAAUUCAGUGAAUCAUCGAAUCUUUGAACGCACAUUGCGCCCCUUGGUAUUCCGAGGGGCAUGCCUGUUCGAGCGUCAUUAUAACCCCUCAAGCUCAGCUUGGUGUUGGGGCCUGCUGCACUGGCAGCCCUUAAAAUCAGUGGCGGCGCCAUCUGGCUCUAAGCGUAGUAAUUCUUCUCGCUAUGGAGUCCUGGUGGAUGCUUGCCAUCAACCCCCAAUUUUUCUAUGGUUGACCUCGGAUCAGGUAGGGAUACCCGCUGAACUUAAGCAUAUCAAUAAGCGGAGGA